UUAAGUUAGAAAGGGCGCACGGUGGAUGCCUUGGCACUAGGAGCCGAUGAAGGACGGGACGAACACCGAUAUGCUUCGGGGAGCUGUAAGCAAGCUUUGAUCCGGAGAUUUCCGAAUGGGGAAACCCACCACUCGUAAUGGAGUGGUAUCCAUAUCUGAAUUCAUAGGAUAUGAGAAGGCAGACCCGGGGAACUGAAACAUCUAAGUACCCGGAGGAAGAGAAAGCAAAUGCGAUUCCCUGAGUAGCGGCGAGCGAAACGGGAUUAGCCCAAACCAAGAGGCUUGCCUCUUGGGGUUGUAGGACACUCUGUACGGAGUUACAAAGGAACGAGGUAGAUGAAGAGGUCUGGAAAGGCCCGCCAUAGGAGGUAACAGCCCUGUAGUCAAAACUUCGUUCUCUCCUGAGUGGAUCCUGAGUACGGCGGAACACGUGAAAUUCCGUCGGAAUCCGGGAGGACCAUCUCCCAAGGCUAAAUACUCCCUAGUGACCGAUAGUGAACCAGUACCGUGAGGGAAAGGUGAAAAGCACCCCGGGAGGGGAGUGAAAUAGAACCUGAAACCGUGUGCCUACAACAAGUUCGAGCCCGUUAAUGGGUGAGAGCGUGCCUUUUGUAGAAUGAACCGGCGAGUUACGUUAUGAUGCGAGGUUAAGUUGAAGAGACGGAGCCGUAGGGAAACCGAGUCUGAAUAGGGCGCCUUAGUAUCAUGACGUAGACCCGAAACCAUGUGACCUACCCAUGAGCAGGUUGAAGGUGCGGUAAGACGCACUGGAGGACCGAACCAGGGCACGUUGAAAAGUGCUUGGAUGACUUGUGGGUAGCGGAGAAAUUCCAAACGAACUUGGAGAUAGCUGGUUCUCUCCGAAAUAGCUUUAGGGCUAGCGUCGACAUUAGAGAUUCUUGGAGGUAGAGCACUGUUUGGGUGAGGGGUCCAUCCCGGAUUACCAAUCUCAGAUAAACUCCGAAUGCCAAUGAAUUAUGGUCGGCAGUCAGACUGCGAGUGCUAAGAUCCGUAGUCGAAAGGGAAACAGCCCAGACCACCAGCUAAGGUCCCAAAAUAAUUGUUAAGUGGAAAAGGAUGUGGGGUUGCACAGACAACUAGGAUGUUAGCUUAGAAGCAGCUAUUCAUUCAAAGAGUGCGUAAUAGCUCACUAGUCGAGUGACCCUGCGCCGAAAAUGUACCGGGGCUAAAACAAUUUACCGAAGCUGUGGAUACCUUUAUAGGUAUGGUAGGAGAGCGUUCUAUGUGUGAUGAAGGUAUACCGUGAGGAGUGCUGGAACGCAUAGAAGUGAGAAUGCCGGUAUGAGUAGCGAAAGACAGGUGAGAAUCCUGUCCACCGUAAGACUAAGGUUUCCAGGGGAAGGCUCGUCCGCCCUGGGUUAGUCGGGACCUAAGGAGAGACCGAAAGGUGUAUCCGAUGGACAACAGGUUGAUAUUCCUGUACUAGAGUAUGUAGUGAUGGAGGGACGCAGUAGGCUAACUAAAGCAGACGAUUGGAAGAGUCUGUCUAAGCAGUGAGGUGUGAAUUGAGUCAAAUGCUUAAUUCUAUAACAUUGAGCUGUGAUGGGGAGCGAAGUUUAGUAGCGAAGUUAGUGACGUCACACUGCCAAGAAAAGCUUCUAGCGUUUAAACAUACUCUACCCGUACCGCAAACCGACACAGGUAGUCGAGGCGAGUAGCCUCAGGUGAGCGAGAGAACUCUCGUUAAGGAACUCGGCAAAAUGACCCCGUAACUUCGGGAGAAGGGGUGCUGACUUAAAGUCAGCCGCAGUGAAUAGGCCCAAGCAACUGUUUAUCAAAAACACAGCUCUCUGCUAAAUCGUAAGAUGAUGUAUAGGGGGUGACGCCUGCCCGGUGCUGGAAGGUUAAGAGGAGUGCUUAGCGUAAGCGAAGGUAUGAAUUGAAGCCCCAGUAAACGGCGGCCGUAACUAUAACGGUCCUAAGGUAGCGAAAUUCCUUGUCGGGUAAGUUCCGACCCGCACGAAAGGCGUAAUGAUUUGGGCACUGUCUCAACGAGAGACUCGGUGAAAUUUUAGUACCUGUGAAGAUGCAGGUUACCCGCGACAGGACGGAAAGACCCCAUGGAGCUUUACUGCAGUUUGAUAUUGAGUGUCUGUACCACAUGUACAGGAUAGGUAGGAGUCUAAGAGAUCGGGACGCCAGUUUCGAAGGAGACGCUGUUGGGAUACUACCCUUGUGUUAUGGCCACUCUAACCCAGAUAGGUGAUCCCUAUCGGAGACAGUGUCUGACGGGCAGUUUGACUGGGGCGGUCGCCUCCUAAAAGGUAACGGAGGCGCCCAAAGGUUCCCUCAGAAUGGUUGGAAAUCAUUCGCAGAGUGUAAAGGUAUAAGGGCGCUUGACUGCGAGAGCUACAACUCGAGCAGGGACGAAAGUCGGGCUUAGCGAUCCGGU
rnacentral:rRNA from 1 species